rnacentral:lncRNA from 1 species
AUGUUGCUUAUGUGGGGUUUUGAUAUAAUUGGUGCUAGGUUUAAGAACAUGAAAUCGACUUUUCGUUUUGUGUAAACUUGAAUCAAAGUAGUAAAGGUUUUGUGCAAAGACCGAAUUUAAUUAAAGAGGAUUGCAAUUAGGUGGACUUUUCCAUACUAAGUUGUACACUUGAGUUGAUAGCCUUUCUCUAUGUCUAAUGCGUUGAACAUGUCAUGAUUGACUAGCUUUCUAGGGCUUGAUUGCAUGUUUGAUAGGAUUAAUCUAGGUGCUUUCGCUUAGAUUAAUUAGCAUUGAAAAGUAAAAUAUGGGAAAUCAUUUGCUUUCGAAUGUUUCACAUGAUCAACUCCUCUCUCAUGACAUUUAAAAUCAACUAUAUGAAUUGUAAUUGGAUUUCUUGCAUAUGGAUGUGGUUUUGAUCCACCCUUGUAUAUAUGUUUUUACAUUUUC